rnacentral:lncRNA from 10 species
GUCUGUUUCUGGAUGCUGGCAGUCAUUCAGAAACAUUUGCUGAGCACCUCGUACCUGCUGAAUGAACCCACGUGAAGGGGAGCCAGGAGUGCGGAUCAUUAAAAAGCCUGUACUUUCUCAGUCCCCAUUUGACACCACAGAGAGAAAAUGCAUGCUCCUGAUUUGGCGCUGUUUUAUCAAUAAGAUCAAUUAAAGAGUUGAACAUUUGAAAAGAAGAAACAUGAAAAUGAAUUUCUAACUGUACGGUAUUGAAUACAUGAAAGUUCUCUUAAACUUAGUCCAGAGUCUCAAUAAACAUGUCUUUGCCCGGCACAGUGACUCACUGGCGUCCCUUUCAGGACUUUCUCCCGCCUGAUAACAUCUAAAUGACUCAUGCCUACACCACCUGGAGAGCUCAGGGAAGGCACGGUUUGUUCAGGCCACCCUCACUCCAAGGGCCAGCCCUUUUUUGGAAUAGAAACUAAAAGUUGGUAGCUUCCAUUUGUAGUUCCAUCUAACAGAAGAGCCGACCCACUCACAUUAGCUGGCUCACGACUAAGGCAACCAAUGCCUCCCAGAACAUAGACUCAACUGGCAACCCCGGCACUGAAGGUCAAGGUGAGUCAAAGACACUCAUGCAGAAGGGUGGAUGCUCUUCCAAGUGUGACUGGCUGGCCUGCACGGCUCACUGCCUCCCCUCCUCCCGUCAAGAUGCAGCUUCAGUUUAAACCACCUUCGUUCCAUUCAUCAAAGAGGAAUAUUUACUGUUAUUGUAAUGACUCUUCUCACAGUACACAAGGCUACACCUGAAACACACAGGCCUUUCAGAAAGCACAAAGGAGCAUUGUGCAAGCCCCUGCCCAGUGAGAUGGAUGGGGGCGUAGACACGCCAGUUAACAGCCGGGCUUUGCAGGCCAGCAAGACUUAUCUGUGGCCGCACCAUGGCCACUGAGCUUGUACCUUUCUUCUUUUAAAAAUUGCUCCUUCAUUAUAAGCAGAGUUAAAUACCUGCACAUGUGAUUUGUGUUGAAAUAAUAAAGCAACAAACACACAUCAAGCUGAGGAGAGAAUCUUGGCUAAGGUAGGAAGUCGUGGGUCUGGUCUCAGUCUGUGCUGCUGACCAACUGUAAGAACUCAGAACUCACUGUCCACUCAGGACCACAGUGUCUCAUCUGAAAGGACGAGGAGACUGGAACACACCAGAGCCAUGGUUCUCAAUGUGUGGUCCAGAGGCCCUCGGGGGUCCCUGAGCCUCUUUCUGGGGAUCUGUGAGGUCAAAACUACUUUCACAAGUAUGGUUUGCCUUUUUCACUCUCACUCUCUCAUGCUUGAACAAUGGAAUCUUCUAAAGGCUUCCUGACACGUGAUGCUACAAUGGAUGGAAUCCAGAGGUGGAUAGGAGAAGCCAGCUGCCUUCUAUUAAACCAGAAAUGAAGAACAUUUGCAGAAAUGUACAACAAUGCCAUGCUUCCCAUUAAUUAUUUUGUUCUUGCUUUAGAAUAUGUCACUUUUCAUUGAAAAAUGUUACUCAUGAUUUUAUGUAAAAGGUUUAUUGUUGUUACUUUUAAAUACAUAUUUUAAGUGUUUUUUAGUUUUGAUUUCUAAUAUGGCAAAAAUUGGUAAAAUCACAUACACAAGGGCUUUUGGGGAUCCUCAAAACUUUUUAAGAGUGUAAAGGGAUCCAGAGACCAAAAGUUUGAUAACCACUAACCAAAAACUUUGACAACCAUCAUCUUGAAGGGUCCUUGGACUUUCUGGAAUUUGGAUCUCCCUUGCCUUGUUCAGUUUUCUCUCUUUUUAGCCAUCUCGUACUUACUGCCAUUUCAGUUCCUAUGUACCUGACUUAUUAAUUAUGCUUAUUGUUUACCAUGUGUGUUCCCCUCCCAUAUAAACUCCAUGAGGACUGAGAUAUUUGUCCAUGAUGUUCAUCAGUGCAUCCCAGGCUGCCUAGAACUGGGCCUGGCCCUUAGCAGGCACUUGUUUUUGGAUGGGAGGGAGGAGAAGGGAGGGGAGAGGGCAAGUUCUUUCAGUGUCUGUAUAAUGGACAGAGCAAGGUGUACCACCUCGGUGUGAUAGAAGAGAUGGAGACAGGAGAAAGGAAGCUCUGCACAGGAUCACGUGGUAGGUGGCAAAGUCAGGGCUCCAUCACAGCUUCUGUUGUCACAUGACUCUGUUAUCUGACCCUUUAAGGCAGCCCCUUCUGCUCCAACAGAGCUUCAGGGUAACUGAGUGCCCCGCAAUUGGUGUUAGC